rnacentral:rRNA from 1 species
GGAGUUAGCCGGUGCUUCUUCUGCGAGUAACGUCACAGAUGUAAGGUAUUAACUUACACCCUUUCCUCCUCGCUGAAAGUGCUUUACAACCCGAAGGCCUUCUUCACACACGCGGCAUGGCUGCAUCAGGGUUUCCCCCAUUGUGCAAUAUUCCCCACUGCUGCCUCCCGUAGGAGUCUGGGCCGUGUCUCAGUCCCAGUGUGGCUGAUCAUCCUCUCAGACUAGCUAGGGAUCGUCGCCUAGGUGAGCCUUUACCUCACCUACUAGCUAAUCCCACCUGGGCUUAUCCAUCAGCGCAAGGCCCGAAGGUCCCCUGCUUUCCCCCGUAGGGCGUAUGCGGUAUUAGCAGUCGUUUCCAACUGUUAUCCCCCACAAAUGGGCAAAUUCCCAGGCAUUACUCACCCGUCCGCCGCUCGUCAUCUUCAAAAGCAAGCUUUUGAAAUGUUACCGCUCGACUUGCAUGUGUUAGGCCUGCCGCCAGCGUUCAAUCUGAGCCAUAAUCAAACUCUGA